UACGAACCGUGCGAGCGUUAUUCGGAAUCAUUGGGCUUAAAGGGCGCGUAGGCGGGACGGCGCGUCGGCCGCUGAAAUCCCCCGGCUCAACCGGGGAACAGGCGCCGAUACGGCCGGUCCUGGAGGCGAGGAGGGGGACCCGGAACGUCCGGUGGAGCGGUGAAAUGCGUUGAGAUCGGACGGAACACCGACGGCGAAAGCAGGGUCCUGGACUCGUACUGACGCUGAGGCGCGAAAGCCAGGGGAGCGAACGGG
rnacentral:rRNA from 1 species